CAAAAACAUGGCUCCUUGUUUAGAGUAAAUAAGGAGUCGGACCUGCCCAGUGAAUUUUUCAACGGCCGCGGUACUCUGACCGUGCAAAGGUAGCAUAAUCAUUUGCCUUAUAAUUGAAGGCUAGUAUGAAUGGUUUGACAAGAAUGUAGCUGUCUCUUUAUGAUUAAAUAGAAUUUUAUCUUCAGGUGAAAAAGCCUGUAUUUAAUUAAAAGACAAGAAGACCCUAUCGAGCUUGAAAAAAGUUAGCAGAGGAACAAGUUAAUAUGGCUAAAAAACUAACUGCUAAAAAUUUUAGUUGGGGUGACUGAGGAACAGAUAAAGCUUCCUUUAAAAUCUAAAACAUACAAGUUUUGAUCCAGAAUAUUCUGAUUAAAGGAACUAGUUACCGUAGGGAUAACAGCAUUAUCUUUUUUGAGAGCUCCUAUCGAAAAAAAGGCUUGUGACCUCGAUGUUGGACCAGAAUAUCCUAAAGAUGCAGCAGUCUUUAAGGGUUGGUCUGUUCGACCAUUAAAAUUCUACCUGA
rnacentral:rRNA from 1 species